GGCGUGCUUAACACAUUCAAGUCGAACGAUGACGGCCGUGCUUGCACGGUCUGAUUAGUGGCGAACGGGUGAGUAACACGUGAGUAACCUGCCCUCCACUUCGGGAUAACCUCGGGAAAUCGUGGCUAAUACCGGAUAUGAGCAUUCAUCGCAUGGUGGGUGUUGGAAAGAUUUAUCGGUGGAGGAUGGACUCGCGGCCUAUCAGUUUGUUGGUGAGGUGAUGGCUCACCAAGACGAUGACGGGUAGCCGGCCUGAGAGGGCGACCGGCCACACUGGGACUGAGACACGGCCCAGCCUCCUACGGGAGGCAGCAGUGGGGAAUAUUGCACAAUGGGCGGAAGCCUGAUGCAGCGACGCCGCGUGGGGGAUGACGGCCUUCGGGUUGUAAACCUCUUUCAGUAGGGAAGAAGCGAAAGUGACGGUACCUGCAGAAGAAGCGCCGGCUAACUACGUGCCAGCAGCCGCGGUAAUACGUAGGGCGCAAGCGUUGUCCGGAAUUAUUGGGCGUAAAGAGCUUGUAGGUGGCUUGUCGCGUCUGCCGUGAAAACCCGAGGCUCAACCUCGGGCGUGCGGUGGGUACGGGCAGGCUAGAGUGUGGUAGGGGA
rnacentral:rRNA from 1 species